AAACAUGUCCUUUUGUUUAUUUAUUUAAGGUCUGGCCUGCCCAAUGAUUAGUUUAAUGGCCGCGGUAUUUUAACCGUGCUAAGGUAGCAUAAUCACUUGUCUUUUAAUUGAAGGCUGGAAUGAAUGGCUUGACGAAAUAUCAGCUUUCUUUAAAUUAAGAAUUGGAAUUUAAUUUUUUAGUUAAAAAGCUAAAAUAUAUUAAUGGGACGAGAAGACCCUAUAGAUCUUGAAUUAAAUUUUAUUUAAAGAUGUUUGGCUUUUUUAUAAGUUUAAGUGAAGUUUUAUUUUGGUUGGGGUGACUAAGGAAUUUUAAUAACUUCCAUUAGAUUUAUGUCAUUAAUUAGUGAUUUAAUGAUCCAUUUGUAGUGAUUAUAAGAAUAAGAUACCUUAGGGAUAACAGCGUAAUUUUUUCGGAUAGUUCAUAUUGAUGAAAUAGUUUGCGACCUCGAUGUUGGAUUAAAAUAAGUAGUAAAUGCAGUAGUUUACUUACUAGGUCUGUUCGACCUAUAAUUUUUUACAUGAUCUGA
rnacentral:rRNA from 1 species